UACGAAGGGGGCUAGCGUUGCUCGGAAUUACUGGGCGUAAAGGGCGCGUAGGCGGACAGUUUAGUCAGAUGUGAAAGCCCCGGGCUCAACCUGGGAAUGGCAUUUGAUACUCGAGGGCUUGAGUACGGGAGAGGAGAGUGGAAUUCCCAGUGUAGAGGUGAAAUUCGUAGAUAUUGGGAAGAACACCGGUGGCGAAGGCGGCUCUCUGGACCGUAACUGACGCUGAGGCGCGAAAGCGUGGGGAGCAAACAGGG
rnacentral:rRNA from 1 species